rnacentral:sRNA from 1 species
AGAAAAGAUGGAGGAACCACAAGC